GGGAAGUGAAGAUUGUGGUUUUAACUAGCUACUUAUGCUUGAUGAUUGUUCGCCCAACCUUUGUUACGACGAUAGAACAGUCUUGAAAUCAUCUGAUCCC
rfam:Lucilia cuprina strain LS Scaffold117, whole genome shotgun sequence.